UGUUCCCCAAAUCCUCCAUUCUCCUGGAUCAAAGCACUGCUGAAGUUUGGACUGCACUGCGCACAAUGACAACGUUUGCUUUGGUGCGAUGGGAAGGAGGUGACGAUGCACAUACAUACAGUGUGAUAUAAAUGCGACUGGAUCAGGGGCUAUAAAGAAAAUUAAGUCAUCACUGGGCAGGAAACAUAUAUGAUGGAAUGGCGACAAGGGAAAUGCCCUCCAGGAGGUUGGCCUUGCCAUGAAGCAACUCUACUGGAUGUUGAUGCUGCAACUUUUGAAAAGUUUCCCGGGACUUCAAAAGGUGUCAUAAGCGAUGCUGUUAACAGGCAAAUUG